rnacentral:rRNA from 1 species
UACAGAGGUCCCAAGCGUUGUUCGGAUUCAUUGGGCGUAAAGCGCGUGUAGGCGGCUCGGUAAGUCUGCUGUGAAAGUCCAGGGCUCAACCCUGGGAUGCCGGUGGAUACUGUCGAGCUCGAGUCCGGAAGAGGCGAGUGGAAUUCCUGGUGUAGCGGUGAAAUGCGCAGAUAUCAGGAGGAACACCAAUGGCGAAGGCAGCUCGCUGGGACGUUACUGACGCUGAGACGCGAAAGCGUGGGGAGCAAACAGG